rfam:Capsella rubella cultivar Monte Gargano unplaced genomic scaffold scaffold_8, whole genome shotgun sequence.
AGAUUGUUAGUAUAAAACUUUGAUCUAAUACAUUAUUGAUUAUUUGGUGGAUUUUUUUCGAUUGUACGAAAUAUCAAUAAGUAUUAGAACAAAGUUUUAUACUGACAGUUUAA